rnacentral:rRNA from 1 species
CAAGGCCUUGCGCUCUUUGAGCGGCCGAUGUCAGAUUAGCUAGUUGGUGAGGUAAAGGCUUACCAAGGCGACGAUCUGUAGCGGGUCUGAGAGGAUGAUCCGCCACACUGGAACUGAGACACGGUCCAGACUCCUACGGGAGGCAGCAGUGGGGAAUUUUGGACAAUGGGGGCAACCCUGAUCCAGCCAUGCCGCGUGAGUGAAGAAGGCCUUCGGGUUGUAAAGCUCUUUCGGCCGGGAAGAAAUCGCAUGGGCCAAUACCCUGUGUGGAUGACGGUACCGGAAUAAGAAGCACCGGCUAACUACGUGCCAGCAGCCGCGGUAAUACGUAGGGUGCGAGCGUUAAUCGGAAUUACUGGGCGUAAAGCGUGCGCAGGCGGUUUUGUAAGACAGGCGUGAAAUCCCCGGGCUUAACCUGGGAACUGCGUUUGUGACUGCAAGGCUAGAGUACGGCAGAGGGGGGUGGAAUUCCACGUGUAGCAGUGAAAUGCGUAGAGAUGUGGAGGAACACCAAUGGCGAAGGCAGCCCCCUGGGUCGAUACUGACGCUCAUGCACGAAAGCGUGGGUAGCAAACAGGAUUAGAUACCCUGGUAGUCCACGCCCUAAACUAUGUCAACUAGGUGUUGGGUGGGUAAAACCAUUUAGUACCGUAGCUAACGCGUGAAGUUGACCGCCUGGGGAGUACGGCCGCAAGGUUAAAACUCAAAGGAAUUGACGGGGACCCGCACAAGCGGUGGAUGAUGUGGAUUAAUUCGAUGCAACGCGAAAAACCUUACCUACCCUUGACAUGCCAGGAACUUGCCAGAGAUGGCUUGGUGCCCGAAAGGGAGCCUGGACACAGGUGCUGCAUGGCUGUCGUCAGCUCGUGUCGUGAGAUGUUGGGUUAAGUCCCGCAACGAGCGCAACCCUUGUCGUUAAUUGCCAUCAUUUAGUUGGGCACUUUAACGAGACUGCCGGUGACAAACCGGGGGAAGGUGGGGAUGACGUCAAGUCCUCAUGGCCCUUAUGGGUAGGGCUUCACACGUCAUACAAUGGUCGGUACAAAGGGUUGCCAAGCCGCGAGGCGGAGCCAAUCCCAGAAAGCCGAUCGUAGUCCGGAUUGCAGGCUGCAACUCGCCUGCAUGAAGUCGGAAUCGCUAGUAAUCGUGGAUCAGCAUGUCACGGUGAAUACGUUCCCGGGUCUUGUACACACCGCCCGUCACACCAUGGGAGCGGGUUCCGCCAGAAGUAGGUAGCCUAACCGCAAGGGGGGCGCUUACCACGGCGGGGUUCGUGAC